UACGUAGGGUCCAAGCGUUAUCCGGAAUCACUGGGCGUAAAGCGUGCGUAGGUGGAUUGUUAAGUGCGGUGCGAAAUCCUGUGGCUCAACCAUAUGGACUGUAUCGCAUACUGGCAACCUAGAGGACAUGAGAGGCAAGUGGAAUUACUGGUGUAGCAGUGAAAAUGCGUAGAGAUCAGUAGGAACACCAAUGGCGAAGGCAGCUUGCUGGCAUGUAUCUGACGCUAAGGCACGAAAAGCGUGGGGGAGCGAACAGG
rnacentral:rRNA from 1 species